UCCGGUUUGUCACCGGCGGCCUCCUUAGGGUUCCCAACUAAAUGAUGGCAACUAAGGACAAGGGUUGCGCUCGUUGCGGGACUUAACCCAACAUCACACGACACGAGCUGACGACAGCCAUGCAGCACCUGUCUUACGGUUCCCGAAGGCACUUCCUCGUCUCUGAAGAAUUCCGUAGAUGUCAAGGCCAGGUAAGGUUCUUCGCGUUGCAUCGAAUUAAACCACAUGCUCCACCGCUUGUGCGGGUCCCCGUCAAUUCCUUUGAGUUUUAAUCUUGCGACCGUACUCCCCAGGCGGGCAACUUCACGCGUUAGCUGCGGUACCAGGAAAUCGCUUCCCCAACACCUAGUUGCCAUCGUUUAGGGCGUGGACUAC
rnacentral:misc_RNA from 1 species